rnacentral:antisense_RNA from 1 species
UGAAGAAGAAAAACCAAAACCAGAUUCCAUAUUCUCCCAAUCCAGGAUCUUGUCCUAUAGUAGUAUGUUGCCACCACCUGAACAUCAGUCUAGCAGACCUUUUACCUUAUUAUGCAGAAAGCACACUUGGCAUGAAAAGAAAGGGUAUCCUUGGCUAGAUUUGCUUCUGUCAUGGCUGAAAAGGUGAAGUGACCCGCUCUGAAAACAUGAAGCCCUUGGACUCUCAGGUCACUGCAUAGGGUGUUCUAAUUAGAAAAACAAGUGAAGCAUUUUACCCACCAACACAGUGGUGACAUUUGGUGAACUUCUAAAAAUCUUUAAUUAUUACUUAUACUUUACAUAUUUACCAAAAUGUUAUGUAUCUCCUUGAUAUUUAAUAAAAUCACUUUUAAAAUCC